UACGUAGGGACCGAGCGUUGUCCGGAUUCAUUGGGCGUAAAGAGCUCGCAGGCGGCUGUUCAAGUCGAACGUGAAAACUCGGAGCUCAACUCCGAGCCUGCGUUCGAUACUGGACGGCUAGAGUCUGGUAGGGGGAUCUGGAAUUCCUGGUGUAGCGGUGAAAUGCGUAGAUAUCUGGAGGAACACCGGUGGCGAAGGCGGCAUCCUGGACCGGCAUUGACGCUGAGGCGCGAAAGCCAGGGGAGCAAACGGG
rnacentral:rRNA from 1 species